rnacentral:rRNA from 1 species
UCUUUCUUUUGCUGGCGACCGGCGCACGGGUGAGUAACACGUAUCCAACCUGCCUUUACUCGGGGAUAGCCUUUCGAAAGAAAGAUUAAUACCCGAUAGCAUAAUGAUUCCGCAUGGUUUCAUUAUUAAAGGAUUCCGGUAAAGGAUGGGGAUGCGUUCCAUUAGGUUGUUGGUGAGGUAACGGCCCACCAAGCCUUCGAUGGAUAGGGGUUCUGAGAGGAAGGUCCCCCACAUUGGAACUGAGACACGGUCCAA